rnacentral:rRNA from 1 species
GAUGAACGCUGGCGGCGUGCUUAACACAUGCAAGUCGGACGAUGAACCUCACUUGUGGGGGGAUUAGUGGCGAACGGGUGAGUAACACGUGAGUAACCUGCCCUUGACUCUGGGAUAAGCCUGGGAAACCGGGUCUAAUACUGGAUACGACCUUCUGGCGCAUGCCAUGUUGGUGGAAAGCUUUUGUGGUUUUGGAUGGACUCGCGGCCUAUCAGCUUGUUGGUGGGGUAAUGGCCUACCAAGGCGACGACGGGUAGCCGGCCUGAGAGGGUGACCGGCCACACUGGGACUGAGACACGGCCCAGACUCCUACGGGAGGCAGCAGUGGGGAAUAUUGCACAAUGGGCGCAAGCCUGAUGCAGCGACGCCGCGUGAGGGAUGAAGGCCUUCGGGUUGUAAACCUCUUUCAGUAGGGAAGAAGCCGGCUUUUGGGUUGGUGACGGUACCUGCAGAAGAAGCGCCGGCUAACUACGUG